UGUGAGCGGGGUGGCCGCUACGCAUGUGCAAUUCCUCCCAGGCGCCAGGAUGGUUGGGGGGGCCGCAAAACGCAAGCGGCACGGACUCCUGCACAUGCGCCAACCCGCCGUCAUGGCGGGGGCGGGGGAAAAUUUCUUUUUGCGGGGCCCCUGGGAAACGUCGGGGUAGGGCUCCUGCUGACCGCUGACGGGGGCCCGGCGAGGAAGUACAUUUCCACCUUUCUCAUCACUCAGGUAUCUGAACACCUACUGGAACUGCAGUAGGAACCAACAAAGGUAGCCACCUAAGAGGACAGAUCCUUAGCUAAUGAACACUGAUUGAAGUCACAGGAGCACUACCAACUUCCACCAGCUGAAGAGAUCUAUUACAUGGCAAUAAUGAACGCACCAAGUGUGCUCCGUGAAGAUUGUCCGGUGAAGUUUCCUCCCUCUAGCGUUCCUCCCGUGGAUUUUUGCAUGUCUGGUUACUAUUGGGCCCCAAGAAAAUAAGGUCCCUGGUGUGUAAAUUGUGGAGUCUUCCAAAGUAAGCUGGUAUCUGGCUUCAUGCCUCCGGAGUCUGACAAACCAGAGGGGAAAAGUUUGAGUGUCUGAUAGUGAAGAACUUCGGGAGGAGGGAUCUGGGGGUACUUGGGAUUGAAAGGGCUGUUGGUUUCACCCUGUAGGAGUAAUUAGGCUGGCAGAAGCCAGCGUGAGAUCUUAUGCUUGUGCGCUGGCUACUGUUGUCAGGGAUUGGAACCAUAGCUGCACAGCACAAAGGCCCACAAAGUUACAAGGAAGGUAGUGAUGGAACCCCUUACUGGUGUGGGGGAUCACCAAAACAUCACAGGUACCCCCAGCUUCUCUUCCCCAAUCUUCACUGAAGCUGUAGCAUGCUUGGGUAAUCUUUGGGACAUGCACAUUGCAGUCUUACCUUCUCUGCAGCACUGUAGAUUUCUUCCCUUUUACUGCAAUCCACCACAAAAGCAUGAGCUGCGGCCCCCAGCCUUCUGCACUCUGCAGCUGUUUCCUCAAUGCCAUGCUAUAAAUGAAAAAGGGGAAAAUCACAGAUUCUCAGAGGUGCCCGGACUGGAUCAUAUUAUUAGGGCACCAGUCGGUCCUCUAAUUUUUCAGACCCCUAAGCAUUGUAGCUAUGUAGACCUACGUUUUAAGUACAGAUCAGGCGUAAAAGUUUGCAGCCUGGGGGCAUAUUUUCCUGUUUUUUGUUAAAUAGCUUUUUCUCUCCAUUGAUGCCAUACAGCAAUGGAAAACAUUUUAAAAACAGGAAAUAUGGUGGCUGAACCAUCAACAUUGUCUGAGAGACUCAGGCGCAGGUGUAGAACCUGAAAAUGCUUAAAUUCCCUCCUUCCCCCAAAUUGACUAGAUUUUGAGAUCAUGGUGUCCCAUUAAAAGAAAACAGAACAGACCGGUAUGUUGACUGCAAUUCCAUUUAAGUGAAUAUUUAUGUGAACCACAGCAUAAAAUCUUCUGAAGGGGCACAAACCCGUCAUUCUACUUACACCCAGCAUACCAGUCAGUGCUCUGACUGCCAUUCGAGGCAAAUGCGGAUGUCGAGCACUUGUGUGAAUGUGGAUGUAAGCCAGGGUCUGAGUGAACUCUCCCCUGCCAUCUAGCGAUGAACCGAGGGUAAAGACUUCAGGAGCAGUGCGUCUCACCUACUCUGCCCAGGUGUUCCGCAGACAGAACUGCUUUGCCAACGGCAUCAAUUUUGGCUUUUUUGGGUUAAAAUUCCCUUUAGUAUUCAACUGGCAGAGCCUCAGAACAGGGCAUCACAAAGGUGCCAGCAGUGGCAGAGAUGACAACAGCAAUAGCAAGCAGCGAGUGGUGGCAGAUACAGCAGCAGCAGCAAGAGCAAGCAGUGGAAGAAGCAGCAGCGAGCGGCCAACAAUGGCAGUAAGUGCUGGCAGCGGCACCGCUCAUCCAUUUUCUGGCGCAGGAGGUAAACCAGCCCAAAUGCAAACCUGGAUUCUGGGGAACGUUAGGGACCUCGGACAACAAAUGCAAGUGGCGGAAAGGACUAAAGUGUGUUAAAGGAACACUCAUUUGUGGGACUUCCACGCUGCAAGGUGGGAAACUGAGGCAAAGGACGCUGCCCAAUGUACUGUGUGGCAGAUGUUUGUUUAUGGUUAAGGUUAAGGUUUUGUCACGGUGAUUUUUAUUAAAAGUCACGGACAGGUCGUGGGCAAUAAACAACAAUUCCUAGAAGCCCGUGACCUGUCUGUGAUUUUUACUAACGGGGGAUGACUGAAGGCUGAGCCUUGCAGGGGGUCGG